rnacentral:rRNA from 1 species
ACAAUGGGGGCGUGCUAAUACAUGCAAGUCGAGCGGAUCUUCAUUAGCUUGCUUUUGAAGAUCAGCGGCGGACGGGUGAGUAACACGUGGGCAACCUGCCUGUAAGACUGGGAUAACUUCGGGAAACCGGAGCUAAUACCGGAUAAUCCUUUCCCUCACAUGAGGGAAAGCUGAAAGACGGCUUCUCGCUGUCACUUACAGAUGGGCCCGCGGCGCAUUAGCUAGUUGGUGAGGUAACGGCUCACCAAGGCAACGAUGCGUAGCCGACCUGAGAGGGUGAUCGGCCACACUGGGACUGAGACACGGCCCAGACUCCUACGGGAGGCAGCAGUAGGGAAUCUUCCGCAAUGGACGAAAGUCUGACGGAGCAACGCCGCGUGAACGAUGAAGGCUUUCGGGUCGUAAAGUUCUGUUGUCAGGGAAGAACAAGUACCGGAGUAACUGCCGGUACCUUGACGGUACGUGACCAGAAAGCCACGGCUAACUACGUGCGAGCAGCCGCGGUGAUACGUAUGUGGCAAGCGUUGUCCGGAAUUAUUGGGCGUAAAGCGCGCGCAGGCGGUUCCUUAAGUCUGAUGUGAAAGCCCCCGGCUCAACCCGGGGAGGGUCGUUGGAAGCUGGGGGAACUUGAGUGCAGAAGAGGAGAGCGGAAUUCCACGUGUAGCGGUGAAAUGCGUAGAGAUGUGGAGGAACACCAGUGGCGAAAGCGGCUCUCUGGUCUGUAACUGACGCUGAGCGCGAAAGCGUGGGGAGCGAACAGAUUAGAUACCCUGGUAGUCCACGCCGUAACGAUGAGUGCUAGUGUUAGAGGGAUUUCCGCCCUUUAGUGCUGCAGCAACGCAUUAAGCACUCCGGCCUGCGUAGUACGGUCGGCAAGCUGGAACUCAAUGAAUGACCCGAGCCGCCACAGCGUGUAGCAUGUGAUUACUCCGAAGCACGCGGACAUCUUACAGUCUGACAUGCUCUGACAUCUAAGAGUCGUCUUCCAUCAGGUACGAGC